rnacentral:rRNA from 1 species
UACGAAGGGGGCUAGCGUUGCUCGGAAUCACUGGGCGUAAAGCGUGCGCAGGCGGUUCGCUGUGUCCGAUGUGAAAGCCCCGGGCUUAACCUGGGAAUGGCAUUGGAAACUGGCGGGCUUGAGUGUGGCAGAGGGGGGUGGAAUUCCGCGUGUAGCAGUGAAAUGCGUAGAGAUGCGGAGGAACACCGAUGGCGAAGGCAGCCCCCUGGGCUAACACUGACGCUCAGGCACGAAAGCGUGGGGAGCAAACAGG